GAUCAUGGCUCAGGAUGGACGCUAGCUACAGGCUUAACACAUGCAAGUCGAGGGGCAGCAUGUUGGUUGCUUGCAACCAAUGAUGGCGACCGGCGCACGGGUGAGUAACGCGUAUCCAACAUACCCUUGUCCAUCGGAUAACCAGUCGAAAGGCGGCCUAACACGAUAUGCGGUUCACAGCAGGCAUCUAACGUGAACGAAAUGUAAAGGAGAAGGAUGGGGAUGCG
rnacentral:rRNA from 1 species